GUAAGUUAAAAACCGUUUCUUAACUUUUAACUAAAAAAGCUAAGAACCAGUUCUUAAAGUCCUUAUUUAAGAACCGAUUUUUAGCUUUUUUAGUUAAAGGUUAAGAAACAGUUUCUUAACUUCC
rfam:Brassica napus, WGS project CCCW01000000 data, contig: 20661